rnacentral:rRNA from 1 species
GGGGGGGGGGGGGGGGGGGGGGGGGGCGUGGGGGGCGGGCGGGCGGGGGGGGGGCGUGCGCCUCGGACGUGAGCGGCGGGCGGGGGGGUAACACGUGGAUAACCUACCUAUAAGACUGGGAUAACUUCGGGAAACCGGAGCUAAUACCGGAUAAUAUCUUGAACCGCAUGGUUCAAUAGUGAAAGACGGUUUUGCUGUCACUUAUCGAUGGAUCCGCGCCGCAUUAGCUAGUUGGUAAGGUAACGGCUUACCAAGGCAACGAUGCGUAGCCGACCUGAGAGGGUGAUCGGCCACACUGGAACUGAGACACGGUCCAGACUCCUACGGGAGGCAGCAGUAGGGAAUCUUCCGCAAUGGGCGAAAGCUUGACGGAGCAACGCCGCGUGAGUGAUGAAGGUCUUCGGAUCGUAAAACUCUGUUAUUAGGGAAGAACAAAUGUGUAAGUAACUAUGCACGUCUUGACGGUACCUAAUCAGAAAGCCACGGCUAACUACGUG